GAAAUAUAUUAUCAUGCUAAGAGAACACAAGAGAGAAGCAAUAGCUUGUAGAGCAGGAGAGAAUUUGCACGGAAAUAAAUACAGAACCAUUUAGAUCGUUCGUUCUUCACAGGCUAAAGGUGUGAAACUGUACAAAACAUCAAACUGGAGUGCCACGCAAGAGGGGAACCAAGAACACCAUCGCCAGAAACAACCAGCUUUAUGUGCCCUUUAUCUGUGCUCUCUCAACUAGUCGGUGCCAUUUAUCUGCGCUUCUCGACUAGUCAGUGGAACAUAACGGACAGAAGUCUCACUUCGAACACUUAUUGAACCAUCCAAUUUUUUGUCUAUAACCUUGAGGUCUUGAAAAAAAGUACCCACUGGAAUUACCAUCCUUCCCCCGGGCUUUAACUGGUCAAUGAGAUCCUGUGGAACAUCAGCUGCAGCUGCUCCAACGUGAAUAGCGUCAUAAGGUGCGUGCUCUGGCCAACCCUUCCUCCCGUCACCAACAUGCAAUGAGAGGGACCCUUCUUUUAAUAAAGGAGCUGCUGCACUCUUUUCAACAUUCUUGAUUGACCACGCAACCAACUCUGGUAUAUGUUCCACACCAACAACUCGACCUUGUGGUCCAACCAUCAGAGCAAAACAUGCUGUGAGAUACCCCGUUCCUGAACCAACAUCAAGAGCAUGCAUGCCAGGCUGCAACCUAUCCUCCAAUAAUUCAAGACACAUAGCAUGCAUAUGAGGUGCUGAGAUAGUGGCAUUGUAACCUAUACUCAUGGGGCUAUCAACGUAAGCAGGAGUACCCUCAGGUACAAACAAACCCCUAUCUACAGUUUCCAUUAUUUCUAUUACUUUCUGUGAUUUUAUGACUCCACAUCUUCGCAACUGCUCAGUCAUUCCCUUGUUUCUGUUACCGGCACUUCCACUCCAAAAUUGCUCCAUUCGAGAGAAUCGAGAGUUCCCCGUGAAGGAAUAUGGAUUUAGGACACGGCAAAAGGAUGAAGAGAAGAGAGGAGAUUUUUGGCGAUGAAAACUAUGGAGAUGGUGGGCGUAUAAUAAACAAGCGUGCUUUAAAGGCGCACGGUAGCGGAAACCAUACGCUAUAGCUGACACAGAAUGUAAGGAUAUAGAAG
rnacentral:misc_RNA from 1 species